GAUGAUUCAGUAGUGACAGGAAGCCAACUGCCUUGCCCGCUGCUUGCCAGAGUCUGUGGUGUUGGCGUCAGCUUGGGCAGGUGUGCGGACACAGGAUGAAGUGGCCAUGGUGAGGAGCCCUCACUCUCAGUUUUACAGACCCCUCCCCAAGCCAACAUGAGUGCCGAGCUAGAGCUGCUGUGGCCGGUGUCGGGACUAUUGCUGCUGCUGUUGGGGGCCACAGCCUGGCUGUGUGUCCACUGCUCCCGCCCAGGGGUGAAGAGAAAUGAGAAAAUCUACGAGCAGAGGAACCAUCAAGAAAAUGAACAGGGCUUAGCUGUGGUUCAGCAGACGUACUCCCUGGCCAGGCAGGUGAGGCCAGGACCCCUGAUGGACACAGCUUCAGACAAGUCAUUUGAAAGGAAGAACAAGCUACUCUUCUCCUACCUUGAGGCCUUUCUUCCAGGUCCUGAGUCCCCUAGGUACCAGAACUUCUACAAAGGAAGCAAAGACGAGCUUGAUGCUGCCUAUGUAGAUCCCAUCUCCACGGACUACUACAACUGGGGACGUUUCCAGAAGCCCCCAGAAGAGGAUGAUUCCAACUCAUACGAGAAUGUGCUCAUCUGCAAGCCCAGCACCCCCGAGUCAGGUGUCGAGGAAUCUGAGGAUUACCAGAACUCAGUAUCCAUCCAUCAGUGGCGAGAGUCCAAGAGGAUUAUGGGUGCACAAAGGUCCCUAUCAGGAAGCCCAGACGAGGAGCCAGAUUACGUGAAUGGGGAUGUGGCUGCAGCCGAGAAAAUCUAGGCGAGAAUCUGAAGGAAGGGGCUGAGGAUCGUGAGUUGAAGGUUUCCUGCCUGCUGAAUAAAGAAUGUCCUCCAGGGUUGCUCAAGUUUCACACCCUGGCUGUGGCUGCUCCUGGGAGGGGCGCCAGAACUGCCUGACACACAGCCUGCGAGACACUGGGAAUCGCCAGAGCCGAAACCCUCAAGUGAUGCCCUGACUUCUUGGGGGCAAGGCCCGUGCCGGGGACACUGACUGUGCUGACUGGGAGCCCAGGACCCGGGGCAAGGGCGGAAUGAGCAGCCCCUGUCUGGCUAGCCUGAAACUUGCUUUACAAACCAGGCUGGCCCUAACAAGAUCUGUCUGCUUCCUGCAUACGGGGAUGAAAAGCGCCACCACACCUGGCCUUCAGUUUAAAAACCGUGUCUGAGUAUAUUCCACGUGUGGGUGCCUGCAGAGUUCUGGAGACACUGGGACACUUGAAAUGCAGGCCCUUGUUGGCUGCCCCAUGGGAGUGCUAGGAACCCAACUAGGCUCCUCUGUAAGAACAGUUCAAGCCCAACUGCUGAGCCAUCUCAUCUCUCCCACUUUCUGAACAAGUGUCUGUCCCUGAGCUUGUAAGCCUGCCGAUUGGACAGCCCUGCUGGCCAGGCGAGCCCCAGGGAUCCUGGCUCUGACUUGCCAGCGCUAGGAUCACAGGCAUCUAUGCCUGUGCCUGGCUUGUUACUUGGGUUUUUGGGGAAUCCAAACUCAGGUAGAGGUUACAUAGCAUUUUACCCACCUCCCACCUUUAUUUGUAUAUGUGUGCACACACGCAUGCGACCACACACAUAAGCAUGGCUAGAGGUCAGAGGACAGCUCCGUGGAGCUGGUUCUUCUGCCCUCAUGAGGGCUCCAGGGAUGAGGCUCGGGUUGGCAGGCUUGGAAGACAAGUGCCUUCACCAGCUGAACCAUCUGUUAGUCUCACUGUAACCCAGGCAGCUGGCACUGAACCCAUGGCACCCCUUUGCCUCGGCACCCCAGCUGUUGGGGUUACAGGCCUGUGCCUCCACAGCUGGCUCUGGUAAAGACCCUUUCUGGAAAUGGAGAGGAAGGUGUUUGUUCUUGUUUUUCGAGAGUUCUCUGUGUCAGCUCUAGCUGUCCUGGAACUCAACUCUGCAGACCAUGCUGGCCUCAAACUCAGAGCUCUGCUUGCCUCUGCCUCCUGAGAGCUAGGAUUAAAGGUGUGUACCUCCACUGCCUGGUUUAAGAUUCUUAGUAGAAAUGACCCUGAGGUCCAGAGAGGAAUGGGCUGUGCACUGUAUAGCCAUCCCCUUUCCUUGGACACAAAUUCAUUCUGAGGAGAAAUGAAUGCUCUAAGUUAUUAUAUUAGAACACCUAGAACCCAACUGUUCUACAACACAUGGGAUGGUCUCGCUCACACUUCCCAGGCUGUCCUAGAUUCCCCAUAGCAGGGGCUAGCUUUGAACUUAGCCUCUGAGUGCUUGGCAUUAUGGGUUCUCAGAACUGAGGAGAUGGCUAAGCAGUUCUGUCUGCUCUUGCAGAGGACCCAGGUUCAAUUCCCAGCACCUCCAUGGAGGCUCACAACUACCUGUAACUCCCAUUCCAAGGGACCCAAUGCUCUCUUUUGGUCUUAGGCACUGUGUGUGUGCAGUGAGCAGGCACACAUGCAGGCAAAACACCCACACAUAAAAUAAAAAAAUCACUCAUACACAUUAAAUAAAUCAAUCACUGUAAAAAGUUAUGGUGUGUGCUACUGUGCCUGGUUUAAUUUCUUUAACUUUUAAUUAAAGAUUUUUAUGGGCUGGAGAGAUGGCUCAGCAGUUAAGAGCACAGACUGCUCUUCC